CAGAUCAUUUCUUCAAAAAAAAACCUAAAUCUUUUCUAAAACUCUCUCAACCUCCCUUGGGAGCUUUGUCGGCGCUGAGUAUGCCUCCAUCUCCGCCGCGGCUCUAACCGGAUCCCUAAGGGUCCAUUUACCUUUGGAUCAGAGGGGGAAAUAUCGACUAGAUCGACACCGAACGAUAGGUACAAAGCCAGCUGUGGCGUACGGAGGUAGCGACGUGACGUGCGGUGGUGUGUGGAGGAUGUACGGAGGCGCACUGAAGGCUGUACGAAGGUUGUUGGCUGUGGCGCAAAGGGGAAACUCUAGGGUUUCUGUUUGGCUGAACCUAUGCUUAGGUUUUGGGCCAUUGGGCCUUUUAGGCAUUGGGUUAUUUGAUUUGCAUGGAUUUUUCUAAUGGGGUUUGGGUCUAUUUGGGUCUAGGUAAUUAAGUCAGGGUCUGUAAAUGGACUAUUUAAAAGAUUUGGACUUUAUAAAUUAUUUGCUUAUUUUGGUUUGAA